CUCUCUCAAGGCAGUAAAAGGGAGCAGUCGAGGUAAAACUCACCUGGUUUGUACUCUUUCACUCAGGCAUCACUGACCUGUGCUUCCUAUUGUCCAAUGUCUGGAAACUAGUGCUUCAUAUGUUUGGUCUGUUUUGUAAAGUUACUUAAGGUGAAAGGGUAAAUCUGGUCCCUGAUACUCCAUCAGGGUCAGAAGUAGAAGCUUGCAGUAGACUUUUAAUAAAGGUACACAGACAGUGCUCUAUAUUAUAUUUAAAAUAGAAUCUCAUUUUGUUUCCACAGCUGUGCUUCUAGAAACAUAUUCUAUCUUCAGAAUCAAACUGGCGUCAGUGCUGAGAUCUAAGCCACAAGUGUGGAUUCCUAGCCUGUCUGUACAGGGUCUACGCCAGAGCAUCUGUACUUGGUUGGAGCAGAGUUCAGGAAAUAUCAACAACAACAAUAAAUCGGCAUCUUUGAAGUCAAUAUCUUUUUUGAAAACUAGAAUUGAUGAUGGCGUGAUAUGGCCAGUAUGUCUGGUCAAAACACAAGUGUUCCCUCAGAGAAAAGCAGCUGCAACUAUAAAACGCACUUUUGAAAAAGAAAAAAAGAAAAAAAAAAGAAUGAAGUAACUUCUGAGCAAGUUUUCCUCGGCAAGAAUACUUAAUUUGUGGCAUCACUCUAAAAAUUAGCAAAUUAAGAACGCUUGUUUACAUUUAAAAACCAGAACUGAUGAUACUGACAUUAAAUAAGCACUUUGGGUGCAGGUUGUUGAAUGGGUGGGUUGCUGGAGCGCUGGCAAUCCCAGUGUGGGCUUUCCGCCCUUGGGCUGUCCAAUUACACUGGCAAACAAGAUAGGUAAGAAGCAAGCAAAAGCCAUCUGGGCAAUAUGUCUUCUUAAUUUAAGGUUGGUUUUUGUUUGUUUUGUAAUUCUAACCUCUAGUUUUACCUUUAUUUGAUCCUUCAGCUAGGGAACGUGAAUUGGUUUGGGUUUGUCCUUGUUUGAAAUCUAUGUACAUACAACAAAGAAAAUUAAUGUAGAAAGAGUAUUUCCUGUUACUGAAGGUUUCUUUUCUCUCUCUCCCUUUCUCUCUCUUUCUCUCUUUCUUCCUUUCUUUCCUUCUUUCAAUAGCAAAUCUCUCUUGUAAUUAUUCACUGAUCAUUUCAGAAGCAUCGUGUGAAUUAUACCAAUGGUAAUUCCUUUAGAAAGAUAAAAUUUUUAGGUUUUUGCCAAUUGAAGUAUUCAGUGUAAAAACAGAUUUCUCCAAAUGUAGCAAAUUGUUGGUUCAUUUACUAACCAUGUUUGUUUCAUGUAUUUGCAUUUGCCAGACAAACACUGAGAAUAUAUAUUUUAAUUUUAUUGCAAAACUACCAUUUCAAGGCAUACCGUGAAAUUAUAAUUUAUGUUCCUGAGAUUUUUGUAGUUUUAGAAUGAUCAUUUCAAUUUAGCCCUGGGUACCUUAUACCAUUAUGCUAGGAACACUUCCAGUUUAAACAUAUAUAAUUUAUUUUUAACAGAUUUUGCUUGGAGUACACAAAUGAAAUGUAACAGUCAUUACAGAGAUUGUCUUGGUUCAUUUACUAAACAUGAAUCCGUGUUCUCUAUUUCCCUUGUUCUGUGCAUGACUCCCUGGCUGGGCUUCUAUUCCCUGCUUUGAUGCAAAUUGCAGGUUGAAGGGGACUCUGAGCAUGAAGUCCCUUUUAGGUGACAUUCUUGGCAAAUGGGAUGUGUGUGUCACUCAGAUAUUCUGUAUUUUUAGAUAGUUCUUUCUGAAAAAUCCAAUUUAUAAAUGGAUCCUUCCUCCAUUCCUAGCCACCUUACACAUAGAAUCCCUCUUUACUUCAAAACCCCCAAACGACCGCCUUGAUGUUGAGACUUUCUUUCUGGAAGAUGAUGAUUCCAUUUUUUUGAAGUUAUUUUACCUUUAUUUUGAAAAACGUAUUCAAACUCAACUUCUAAUGAGAGUCCUCCUUUUCUCUCAAGCAGCACAGAUCAAGCAAAGGUGGAGAUUCUGUGUGCCAUAGCUCCAUGGGUUUUUCAGCAGGAAUUAUGUGCAGCAUUGACUAUAUAUAAAUUUAAAUAAUGUAAAAACACUUUGUGAUAGCCUUUGUAUUGAACCUAUGCCCAGCAGGUUUUGGCCUCCCAAUAUUUACACUGAGUUUGAAUUACCUUUGCACACCAAAUCUUUGUGGCUUUCUAUGUAUUGUCAAGCUUAGUACAGCUGGUGUACAAAAUAUUUCCUUUUUUUAGAGAAUGUUAGAAGAGUGUUUGAGGAAGGUCUCCCAGUGUAAAGCUGUUUGUUGUGUGCACAGAUUUUAUGCUAUUUGAAACUGGAAUUAGGUAAAGCAGUUAUCGGGAGUGUAACUGAGUUUUUUGGAUUCAGCAAAAGGCGGGGCUCACAAAUUAGGUUUUCAUCAGAAGGGAAUAAAAGUCUCCAGGGGAUUAAGGUAGCA
ensembl:lncRNA